rnacentral:rRNA from 1 species
UCGAGCGAGAAAGGGUAGCAAUACCUGAGUAAAGCGGCGCACGGGUGAGUAACACGUGGAUAACCUGCCUCAAAGUGGGGGAUAACACCGGGAAACCGGUGCUAAUACCGCAUAUUCUGACGAGAUCUGCGGAUUUUGUCUGGAAAGGAGCAAUUCGCUUUGAGAGGGGUCCGCGGCUGAUUAGCUAGUUGGUGAGGUAAUGGCUCACCAAGGCAACGAUCAGUAGCCGGUCUGAGAGGACGGUCGGCCACACUGGAACUGAGACACGGUCCAGACUCCUACGGGAGGCUGCAGUGGGGAAUUUUUGGCAAUGGGGGCAACCCUGACCAAGCAACGCCGCGUGGAUGAUGAAGUAUCUCGGUACGUAAAAUCCUUUCGACGGGGACGAAACCGCAAGGUUGACGGUACCCGUAGAAGAAGCCCCGGCUAACUCCGUGCCAGCAGCCGCGGUAAUACGGGGGGGGCAAGCGUUG